UACGUAGGGUGCAAGCGUUGUCCGGAAUUAUUGGGCGUAAAGAGCUCGUAGGCGGUCUGUCGCGUCUGCUGUGAAAACUCAGGGCUUAACCCUGAGCUUGCAGUGGGUACGGGCAGACUAGAGUGCGGUAGGGGAGACUGGAAUUCCUGGUGUAGCGGUGGAAUGCGCAGAUAUCAGGAGGAACACCGGUGGCGAAGGCGGGUCUCUGGGCCGUUACUGACGCUGGAGGAGCGGAAAGCGUGGGGAGCGAACAGG
rnacentral:rRNA from 1 species